UACGUAGGGGGCAAGCGUUGUCCGGAAUUACUGGGCGUAAAGCGCAUGUAGGCGGCUUUGUAAGUCAGAUGUUAAAUCCCCGGGCUUAACUCGGGGCCGCACCUGAUACUGCGAAGCUAGAGAUAUGUAGAGGAAAGCGGAACUACCGGUGUAGCGGUGAAAUGCGUAGAUAUCGGUAGGAACACCAGUGGCGAAGGCGGCUUUCUGGACAUUUUCUGACGCUGAGAUGCGAAAGCAAGGGGAGC
rnacentral:rRNA from 1 species